UGAGGAAUAUUGGUCAAUGGGCGAGAGCCUGAACCAGCCAAGUAGCGUGCAGGAUGACGGCCCUAUGGGUUGUAAACUGCUUUUAUAUGGGAAUAAAGUGAGGGACGUGUCCCUUAUUGCAUGUACCAUACGAAUAAGGACCGGCUAAUUCCGUGCCAGCAGCCGCGGUAAUACGGAAGGUCCAGGCGUUAUCCGGAUUUAUUGGGUUUAAAGGGAGCGUAGGCUGUUUGUUAAGCGUGUUGUGAAAUGUAAGAGCUCAACUUUUAGAUUGCAGCACGAACUGGCAGACUUGAGUGCGCACAACGUAGGCGGAAUUCAUGGUGUAGCGGUGAAAUGCUUAGAUAUCAUGACGAACUCCGAUUGCGAAGGCAGCUUACGGGAGCGCAACUGACGCUAAAGCUCGAAGGUGCGGGUAUCGAACAGG
rnacentral:rRNA from 1 species